rnacentral:rRNA from 1 species
CCUACGGGAGGCAGCAGUGGGGAAUAUUUCACAAUGGGGGAAACCCUGAUGCAGCGACGCCGCGUGAGUGAAGAAGGAUCUCGGUAUGUAAAGCUCUAUCAGCAGGGAAGAAAAUGACGGUACUUGAUCAAGAAGCCCCGGCUAACUACGUGCCAGCAGCCGCGGUAAUACGUAGGGGGCAAGCGUGAUCCGGAUUUACUGGGUGUAAAGGGAGCGUAGACGGGAGCGCAAGUCUGAAGUGAAAUGCCGGGGCUUAACCCCGGAACUGCAUUGGAAACUGUGCAGCUAGAGUGAAGGAGAGGGAAGUGGAAUUCCUGGUGUAGCGGUGAAAUGCGUAGAUAUUAGGAGGAACACCAGUGGCGAAGGCGGGUUACUGGACUGUAACUGACGUUGAGGCACGAAGGCGUGGGGAGCGAAAGGGAUUAGAUACCCGUGUAGUC